rnacentral:rRNA from 1 species
UACGGGGGGGGCAAGCGUUGUUCGGAAUUACUGGGCGUAAAGGGCUCGUAGGCGGCCAACUAAGUCAGACGUGAAAUCCCUCGGCUUAACCGGGGAACUGCAUCUGAUACUGGAUGGCUUGAGUUCGGGAGAGGGAUGCGGAAUUCCAGGUGUAGCGGUGAAAUGCGUAGCUAUCUGGAGGAACACCGGUGGCGAAGGCGGCAUCCUGGACCGACACUGACGCUGAGGAGCGAAAGCCAGGGGAGCAAACGGG